GCACCCGUGGCCUAGCGGUUAGCGCCUUUGUUUUUGAAACUUGCAUCGCGGGUUCGAACCCCACCGAGGCU